GUUCAAAGCUGACUAUGUCGCAUGCAGCUGGCAGCAAGAGUUAUGCUCGUGUGGGGCAUGAACUGGCCGAGCAACAAGGACGCCCUGCGAGAAGAGAUGAAAUAUAUGUUAGAACACACACGCGUAAGAACAAAGAAGGGGAUAUUGUGCCUCUACCUGGAGCAGAAAUAUUCAUU